UACGGGAGGCAGCAGUGGGGAAUAUUGCACAAUGGGCGAAAGCCUGAUGCAGCUAUGCCGCGUGUAUGAAGAAGGCCUUAGGGUUGUAAAGUACUUUCAUCGGGGAGGAAAAACAAAACUAAUAAUUUUAUUUCUUGACGUUACCCGAAAAAGAAGCACCGGCUAACUCCGUGCCAGCAGCCGCGGUAAUACGGAGGGUGCUAGCGUUAAUCAGAAUUACUGGGCGUAAAGAGCACGUAGGUGGUUUUUUAAGUCAGAUGUGAAAUCCCUGGGCUUAACCUAGGAACUGCAUUUUGAAACUGAAAUACUAGAGUAUCGUAGAGGGAGGUAGAAUUCUAGGUGUAGCGGUGAAAUGCGUAGAUAUCUGGAGGAAUACCUGUGGCGAAAGCGGCCUCCUAAACGAAUACUGACACUGAGGUGCGAAAGCGUGGGGAGCGAAACAGGGAUUAGAUACCCGU
rnacentral:rRNA from 1 species